AUUGAACGCUGGCGGCAUGCCUAACACAUGCAAGUCGAACGCGAAAGUCCUUCGGGGCGAGUAGAGUGGCGGACGGGUGAGUAAUGCGUGGGAAUCUACCUCGUAGUGGGGGACAACCCGGGGAAACUCGGGCUAAUACCGCAUACGUUCUACGGAAGAAAGGGGGCCUCUGCUUGCAAGCUCUCGCUAUGAGAUGAGCCCACGUCCGAUUAGCUAGUUGGUGGGGUAAAGGCCUACCAAGGCGACGAUCGGUAGCUGGUCUGAGAGGAUGACCAGCCACACUGGGACUGAGACACGGCCCAGACUCCUACGGGAGGCAG
rnacentral:rRNA from 1 species